rnacentral:rRNA from 1 species
GACGAACCGAGCGAACGUUGUUCGGAAUCACUGGGCUUAAAGGGCGCGUAGGCGGGUGCUCAAGUCCGGGGUGAAAUCCUCCAGCUCAACUGGAGAACUGCCUCGGAUACUGGGUGCCUCGAGGGUGGUAGGGGUAUGCGGAACUAUCGGUGGAGCGGUGAAAUGCGUUGAUAUCGAUAGGAACUCCGGUGGCGAAGGCGGCAUACUGGACCACAUCUGACGCUGAGGCGCGAAGGCCAGGGGAGCAAACGGG